GGCAAGAUGGCCGAGCGGUUAAGGCGUGUGACUCAAGCAUUAGCUUGCCCAGUUUCUGGGUUCAAAGUCUUCUCAUAGACGUAUGUCUGCGUGGGUUCAAGUCCCACUCUUGUCA